CUGACACCAGCAGAAGCCAAGCACAUACACUCAUCACCUCAUCGCCACCAGGUUCAGGUGUAAUUUCACUGACUCCAGGUACAUCGCAGCCUUACUAUCUGAGCGUCAUCACUGUUAACACUUUCGAGUUUUCCUUCUGGCCUUCGUUCCAUGCCUACACUUUUUCACAUAUGUAAGGAAAGACCACCUUCUUCCCAGCAAGAAACAGUAUUGGUCAUCUUGGGAGCUUCUGCUGCUGGUGGCCUAGAGAGCCAGAUGAAGGAGUAGAGAAAUGGCAGCUGACUGCAGGAUGGUACAAGAAGGGGAGGAGAGGAGAGAUACAUCCAGAAGCUGGAAACUAGUUCAGCCCUUUGAUGUCAUCCUCUAAGGAGACAGAGCAGAAUGGAGAAAACAGGUAAGUAAACCUGAAGGCUAUGUCUAGCACAGCCCCUGGGGCUCAGGAACCACAAUUCACAGCAAAGCUGAGAAUUCAACGUCUCUUCCUGGAGUUCAGCUUCCGAGCUCUUGGUACAGGCAUACUUCAUUUUAUGGCGCUUUGUAGAUAUUGAGUUUUGCUUUGCUUUGUUCUUUAGCGACAGGGUCUCACUCUUUCUCCUAAGCUGGAGUGCAGUGGCACAGUCAGAGCUCACUAUAACCUCAAAUUCCUGGGCUCAAACGAUCCUCCAGCCUCAGUCUCCCAAGGAGCUAGUGUUAGGUUUUGCAGGGAAGGUAAGGGACACCCACACAGAGAGGGCAGCUCGACAGCAAAUGCAGGCUUAUGUCCAGCAUAAAACCUACAGAAGUGGGGAACCAUCCUAAUGCCAGUGCCCACAACUGCUUAUAUGCUGGGGGUACUUAUAGCUAUGGGCGGGAGGGGUCUGAGCAGCGUGGCUUGCUGCCUGGCAGGAUAUUGAAAAGAUGUUCCCGUGAUGAGGUGGUUCUGGCCCUUGUUCCGGUGGGCUGUCAUCGUGAUGUUCCUUGGAUCUUUGCCCACCAAGAUAUGAUAGGGAUGUUUCUUUAAUACGGCCUUUGUCCGCCUUGUGGUCAGGUGGUUAGGCAGAAUGUUUCUCAUGGCCCAAACCCCUGUAAAAUGUUUUGCUUUAACCAAAG
rnacentral:lncRNA from 10 species